UCCCAUAUGGUCUAGUGAUCAGGAUUCCUUGUUUUCACCCAGGCGACCCGGGUUCAACUCCCGGUAUGGGAA